ACGGGUGAGUAAUACAUCGGAACGUGCCCAGUAGUGGGGGAUAGCCCGGCGAAAGCCGGAUUAAUACCGCAUACGACCUACGGGUGAAAGCGGGGGAUCGCAAGACCUCGCGCUAUUGGAGCGGCCGAUGUCAGAUUAGCUAGUUGGUGGGGUAAAAGCCUACCAAGGCGACGAUCUGUAGCUGGUCUGAGAGGACGACCAGCCACACUGGGACUGAGACACGGCCCAGACUCCUACGGGAGGCAGCAGUGGGGAAUUUUGGACAAUGGGCGCAAGCCUGAUCCAGCCAUGCCGCGUGUGGGAAGAAGGCCUUCGGGUUGUAAACCACUUUUGUCAGGGAAGAAACGGUCUGAUCUAAUAAAUUGGACUAAUGACGGUACCUGAAGAAUAAGCACCGGCUAACUACGUGCCAGCAGCCGCGGUAAUACGUAGGGUGCAAGCGUUAAUCGGAAUUACUGGGCGUAAAGCGUGCGCAGGCGGCUAUGCAAGACAGAUGUGAAAUCCCCGGGCUCAACCUGGGAACUGCAUUUGUGACUGCAUGGCUAGAGUACGGUAGAGGGGGAUGGAAUUCCGCGUGUAGCAGU
rnacentral:rRNA from 1 species